UAAAGCGUCAAUUUAUUCGCG
rnacentral:piRNA from 1 species